rnacentral:rRNA from 1 species
AUUGAACGCUGGCGGCAGGCUUAACACAUGCAAGUCGAGCGGCGAUGAGGUGCUUGCACCUUAUCUUAGCGGCGGACGGGUGAGUAAUGCUUAGGAAUCUGCCUAUUAGUGGGGGACAACAUUCCGAAAGGAAUGCUAAUACCGCAUACGUCCUACGGGAGAAAGCAGGGGAUCUUCGGACCUUGCGCUAAUAGAUGAGCCUAAGUCGGAGUAGCUAGUUGGUGGGGUGAAGGCCUACCAAGGCGACGAUCUGUAGCGGGUCUGAGAGGAUGAUCCGCCACACUGGGACUGAGACACGGCCCAGACUCCUACGGGAGGCAGCAGUGGGGAAUAUUGGACAAUGGGCGGAAGCCUGAUCCAGCCAUGCCGCGUGUGUGAAGAAGGCCUUUUGGUUGUAAAGCACUUUAAGCGAGGAGGAGGCUACCUAGAUUAAUACUCUGGGAUAGUGGACGUUACUCGCAGAAUAAGCACCGGCUAACUCUGUGCCAGCCGCCGCCGUAAUAC